rnacentral:ncRNA from 1 species
GAAAGGUUGUGUUUUAGCGCACAACUGGAUGCGUACAUACCGGCAUCCCAAUUAGG